rnacentral:rRNA from 1 species
CUCUUGACCUCGGAUCAGGUAGGGAUACCCGCUGAACUUAAGCAUAUCAAUAAGCGGAGGAAGGA